ACAACUUUCAGCGACGGAUAUCUCGGCUCAGGCACCUAUGAAGGGCGCAGCAGAGGCGCGAUAGUCUUUGUGAAUUGCAGAUCUUCGUGAACCAAUGGCCCCCUGAACGCGCAUCGCACUCUUGGGACUUCCUGAGAGUAUGUUUGCUUCAGUGCUU
rnacentral:rRNA from 1 species